AUUGAACGCUGGCGGCAGGCCUAACACAUGCAAGUCGAGCGGGGGUAGCAAUACCCUAGCGGCGAACGGGUGAGUAAUGCCUAGGAAUCUGCCUCGUAGUGGGGGACAACGUUUCGAAAGGAACGCUAAUACCGCAUACGUCCUACGGGAGAAAGUGGGGGAUCUUCGGACCUCACGCUAUGAGAUUAGCCUAGGUACGAUUAGCUAGUUGGUGGGGUAAAGGAUCACCAAGGCGACGAUCGUUAACUGGUCUGAGAGGAUGAUCAGUCACACUGGAACUGAGACACGGUCCAGACUCCUACGGGAGGCAGCAGUGGGGAAUAUUGGACAAUGGGGGAAACCCUGAUCCAGCCAUGCCGCGUGUGUGAAGAAGGCCUUCGGGUUGUAAAGCACUUUAAGCAGGGAGGAAGGUUUGCUGGUUAAUACCUGGCAAAAUUGACGUUACCUGCAGAAUAAGCACCGGCUAACUCUGUGCCAGCCGCCGCCGUAA
rnacentral:rRNA from 1 species